rnacentral:misc_RNA from 1 species
AACCAACAACAGCAGCUCCA